rnacentral:rRNA from 1 species
GACGAACGCUGGCGGCGUGCUUAACACAUGCAAGUCGAGCGGUAAGGCCCUUUCGGGGGUACACGAGCGGCGAACGGGUGAGUAACACGUGGGUGACCUGCCCUUAGCUCUGGGAUAAGCCUGGGAAACUGGGUCUAAUACCGGAUAUGACUCCAUGACGCAUGUUGUGGGGUGGAAAGCCUUGUGCGGCUAGGGAUGGGCCUGCGGCCUAUCAGCUUGUUGGUGGGGUGANGGCCUACCAAGGCGACGACGGGUAGCCGGCCUGAGAGGGCGACCGGCCACACUGGGACUGAGACACGGCCCAGACUCCUACGGGAGGCAGCAGUGGGGAAUCUUGCGCAAUGGGCGAAAGCCUGACGCAGCGACGCCGCGU